GUGUCAGCAGCCGCGGUAAUACGUAGGGUGCGAGCGUUGUCCGGAAUUACUGGGCGUAAAGAGCUCGUAGGUGGUUUGUCGCGUUGUCCGUGAAAACUCACAGCUUAACUGUGGGCGUGCGGGCGAUACGGGCAGACUAGAGUACUGCAGGGGAGACUGGAAUUCCUGGUGUAGCGGUGGAAUGCGCAGAUAUCAGGAGGAACACCGGUGGCGAAGGCGGGUCUCUGGGCAGUAACUGACGCUGAGGAGCGAAAGCGUGGGGAGCGAACAGGAUUAGAUACCCUGGUAGUCCACGCCGUAAACGGUGGGUACUAGGUGUGGGUUCCUUCCUUGGGAUCCGUGCCGUAGCUAACGCAUUAAGCACUCCACCUGGGGAGUACGAUCGCAAGAUUGAAACUCAAAUAAAUUGACGG
rnacentral:rRNA from 1 species